UACGGGGGGGGCAAGCGUUGUUCGGAAUUACUGGGCGUAAAGGGCUCGUAGGCGGCCAACUAAGUCAGACGUGAAAUCCCCAGGCUCAACCUGGGAACUGCGUCUGAUACUGGAUGGCUUGAAUCCGGGAGAGGGAUGCAGAAUUCCAGGUGUAGCGGUGAAAUGCGUAGAUAUCUGGAAGAACACCAGUGGCGAAAGCGCUCUACUGGGCCAUAACUGACACUGAGGGACGAAAGCUAGGGGAGCGAAAGGG
rnacentral:rRNA from 1 species